AGAGUUUGAUCCUGGCUCAGGACGAACGCUGGCGGCGUGCUUAACACAUGCAAGUCGAACGAGAUCCAAGGGUUAGCAAUAACCUGGAAGAUCGAGUGGCGAACGGGUGAGUAACACGUGAGGAACCUACCCCGGNACUCAGGGNAUAACGGCUGGAAACGGCUGCUAAUACCUGAUGCCGUCGGAGCAUCACAUGGUGCACUGACGAAAGAAUCUCGGUUCGGGAGGGCCUCGCGGCCUAUCAGCUUGUUGGUGGGGUAACGGCCUACCAAGGCAUCGACGGGUAGCUGGUCUGAGAGGAUGAUCAGCCACACUGGGACUGAGACACGGCCCAUACUCCUACGGGAGGCAGCAGUGGGGAAUCUUGCGCAAUGGGCGAAAGCCUGACGCAGCAACGCCGCGUGCGGGAAGAAGGCCUUAGGGUUGUAAACCGCUUUCAGUAGGAACGAAAAUGACGGUACCUGCAGAAGAAGGUGCGGCCAACUACGUGCCAGCAGCCGCGGUGACACGUAGGCACCAAGCGUUGUCCGGAUUUAUUGGGCGUAAAGAGCUCGUAGGCGGUUGAGUAAGUCGGGUGUGAAAACUCUGGGCUUAACCCAGAGCCGCCACUCNAUACUGCUCUGACUUGAGUUCGGUAGGGGAGCAGGGAAUUCCUANUGUAGCGGUGAAAUGCGCANAUAUUANGAGGAACAC
rnacentral:rRNA from 1 species